CAGUCGCCGCGGGAAUACGAAGGGGGCUAGCGUUGUUCGGAUUUACUGGGCGUAAAGCGCACGUAGGCGGACUUUUAAGUCAGGGGUGAAAUCCCGGGGCUCAACCCCGGAACUGCCUUUGAUACUGGGAGUCUUGAGUUCGAGAGAGGUGAGUGGAAUUGCGAGUGUAGAGGUGAAAUUCGUAGAUAUUCGCAGGAACACCAGUGGCGAAGGCGGCUCACUGGCUCGAUACUGACGCUGAGGUGCGAAAGCGUGGGGAGCAAACAGGAUUAGAUACCCGCGUAGUCCCUGUCUCUUAUAC
rnacentral:rRNA from 1 species